AGAUGGGGUGAUCUGGCUGUGACAUUUUCCACCCUAUUGACCACCAGGGUUGAUUCAGCUGACCUGGCUGACUAGGCAGUUGUCCACGUGCGUCUCUCUAUGAACUUGGUUGAAGACCUUCUCUUACAGAAGAGGCCCAUUCUUCAGUCAAUGGAACAUGAGCAGCUAUGCUCCUGUGCUAGAACCUUCACACAACUCACAUUCUGAUUUUUGGAUGUAGUUUUCCUUAACUGUAUAUUUUCAGAUAUUGGUUUUUACUGUGUCUUCCUUCUGAGCUUACUGUUCUUU
rfam:Cavia porcellus supercont2_2 genomic scaffold, whole genome shotgun sequence.